GGUCCUAAAUCUUGCUCCUGGCCAGGAAGUUACUGGCGAGUGGCCUGUGUCUGGGGCUCUAAAGAAACAACGCUGCGGAGCCUGGAGCUGAGGAGAAGCACUGAGCGAGCGUGGUUGGGCGGAAAUGCUGUGCCUGAGCCUCUCCCCGCCCAAGUUCUUUCUCUUCCUGGCAAGGCUUGCAGGUCUGCCUUUGAAACGCUGUGUAAACGGAUUGAGUCACAAACAGUCCGCAAACAUGCCGGGUCCUCUCCCCGCCCUUUGUUCUCCAAGACCUGCCCAGCAAACCUUUUCUAGAAUUGCCCUAACACCCCAGGGCAAGCCAGGGAGCCUCCCUCCGGAACCACAGCCAGAGGACUGGGGACCUUCGGCCCCGCCCGCCGGCUGCACCCUAAUCUGUGAAGUACUAAACUGGCCCAGGUGAGCCGAGGACCUAGCGGGGCGCUGAGAGCCAGGGAAACUGAGGGAUUCCCUGUGCUGCUCAGGAGCACCCGUACUGCGCGGGCCUGAAGAGGGGGCGUGGCCCGAAGUGGCCUUGGCCUCUCCUUGCCCAGGGUCAGUCCCCUCACCCCACUUCCACGCUUUUCUUCCCACAUCUGGGAUCUGUGGGGUUUCCAGAGCACCCAGUCAACGCCCCCUCCCCUAUAACCGCUCCUCCUCACCAGCCCCUCGCACAGCGCCCAGAGGAGCAGGAAGCCGGCAUAUGUCAGGCUCCACACGAGGCUGCUCGGGGUGUCAUUUUUCAUUUCUCAGAAGGACAUUUCUUCUGGUGAGCCGGGAGGUCUAUUUUGUUGUGACCUUUAAUUAACACCCCGCGAGACACCUCCUGAAGGACCAGCCCAGCGCUGGGAUCACGUGAGGUGUAAUGGCAUCUCCAAGCUCCCAGGAGAGACCGGGUCUGGAGAUAGGCGAGGAGCAAAGGACUUCUAGGGCUUUCCAGUCGGGGGCUUGGUUCUGAGAUAUGGGUGAGGCAGGAGGGGGCAGAAAGAGAAUAAUUGGGGGUAGUGGAACCCUGGGUAACGCCCCCCACCCCAUUUUCCUGGGGGAAAAAAUCUUUUUUGUCCUCUCUGGUGCUGCUAUCCCCCCUACAUCCCCUGGGCUGCAGCCUUUGCCUGGGAAUAUGUCACAGCUACCAAGGGGAGGUAAGAAGGGCAAAAUAAAGAUGUUGAGAACAGUGUGGAAGUUUCCAUUACGUUCCUACUUCCCAUUUAAAAGCGAUCAUAUCAGUAGAGGACCUUAGGGGGAUAGGUACACCUCCAGGCAGCACAGGCCAGCUCCAGCCAAAUCUGUAUUCCACAUAGGUGCAGCGGAAUAUAUCGUUGCCAUUAGCUAAGGGCUGCUUAUCAGCCGGAAAGCAGCGUGUGGCCAGGUGAAAUGGACGAGCCAGUGAAGACACGGGUGGGAAGAAAUUUGACUGAUGUUUCUGUAUAUGAUUUUCUACAUUUAUCCUGCUUAGGUCUGCUGAAUUUCUAGGACCUAUAAGUUGAUUGUGCUAGAGAUAGAACCCAGGACCAAGUGCACUACCACUGAACUACAUCCCUGUCCCUAAUCCUAAUGCUUUUCUGAAUUCCAACAUUUGACUCAUUUGGGAACCACUUUCAAUAAAAUGAUUUUUCUCUUUGACUCUGAA